rnacentral:lncRNA from 1 species
GCAGUUUCAUCAUUCUGAGAAGCAGCAGAAACGGAGAAAGAUAGGAUCAAAUCCAUUCUUUGAUUCUUCCUUCCCCAUUCUGUAUCCGAUCGAGAACAAAUCAAUCGUCGUCUUUGCUUCCACAGUCGCAGUCAGGUCUGUUCUUCCGAUUCUGCAUCUCUCGUAGGGUACAAUUUUCACUCGAUAGCUUUGUGUUAACAGUUCAUUCUAUUAGCGCCUCGAGAUUAAAAUUUUGAUCGGUCUGAUUAAAGAACGCAGUUUUUGGAUCUCUUGUACAGAAUCAACGUCAAUGCUGUAGUUUUCCCGAGCUUGGCGUAGGCAAAGCGUUCUUCUUACCAGGGACGUUUAAUUUUUUCUCGG